UUGUCUCAAAGAUUAAGCCAUGCAUGUCUCAGUACAAGCCAAAUUAAGGUGAAACCGCGAAAGGCUCAUUAAAUCAGUUAUGGUUCCUUAGAUCGUACCAACAUUUACUUGGAUAACUGUGGUAAUUCUAGAGCUAAUACAUGCAAACAGAGCUCCGACCGGAGACGGAAGGAGCGCUUUUAUUAGAUCAAAACCAAUCGGCGGCGGGUUCGUUCGCGAGCUCGUCGUCGUUCGCAUUGACGAAUCUGAAUAACUUUCUGCUGAUCGCACGGUCUCGCACCGGCGACGCAUCUUUCAAAUGUCUGCCUUAUCAACUGUCGAUGGUAGGUUCUGUGCCUACCAUGGUUGUAACGGGUAACGGGGAAUCAGGGUUCGAUUCCGGAGAGGGAGCCUGAGAAACGGCUACCACAUCCAAGGAAGGCAGCAGGCGCGCAAAUUACCCACUCCCGGCACGGGGAGGUAGUGACGAAAAAUAACGAUACGGGACUCAUCCGAGGCCCCGUAAUCGGAAUGAGAACAAUUUAAAUCCUUUAACGAGGAUCAAUUGGAGGGCAAGUCUGGUGCCAGCAGCCGCGGUAAUUCCAGCUCCAAUAGCGUAUAUUAAAGUUGUUGCGGUUAAAAAGCUCGUAGUCGAAUCUGUGUCCCGCGCCGCCGGUUCGUCGCUCGCGGCGUUUAACUGGCGUGUCCGCGGGACGUCCUGCCGGUGGGCUUAGCCCUUUCGCGAGGGCGGCCCAAUUGUAAUCCCGCCGCGGUGCUCUUCACCGAGUGUCGAGGCGGGCCGGCACGUUUACUUUGAACAAAUUAGAGUGCUUAAAGCAGGCUAAAACUUUGCCUGAAUACUUCGUGCAUGGAAUAAUGGAAUAGGACCUCGGUUCUAUUUUGUUGGUUUUCGGAACCCCGAGGUAAUGAUUAAUAGGAACGGAUGGGGGCAUUCGUAUUGCGACGUUAGAGGUGAAAUUCUUGGAUCGUCGCAAGACGGACAGAAGCGAAAGCAUUUGCCAAAAACGUUUUCAUUGAUCAAGAACGAAAGUUAGAGGUUCGAAGGCGAUCAGAUACCGCCCUAGUUCUAACCAUAAACGAUGCCAGCUAGCGAUCCGCCGACGUUCCUCCGAUGACUCGGCGGGCAGCUUCCGGGAAACCAAAGCUUUUGGGUUCCGGGGGAAGUAUGGUUGCAAAGCUGAAACUUAAAGGAAUUGACGGAAGGGCACCACCAGGAGUGGAGCCUGCGGCUUAAUUUGACUCAACACGGGAAACCUCACCAGGCCCGGACACCGGAAGGAUUGACAGAUUGAGAGCUCUUUCUUGAUUCGGUGGGUGGUGGUGCAUGGCCGUUCUUAGUUGGUGGAGCGAUUUGUCUGGUUAAUUCCGAUAACGAACGAGACUCUGGCCUGCUAACUAGGCGUAUUUCCGACAUCUCGAAGGCCCGCCGGCCUGGUGCGUUCGCGUGCCAUGUCGUGCGCGGUUUUUACUGUCGGCGUAC
rnacentral:rRNA from 1 species